CCCACAUCUUCACCCCAUAUUCAACGCUUGCUUUUUUGCAGACUUGAAGGUUUUACCUACUUUUUCCAUCGUCCGUCUUCAAAGGGGUUCCUCUCUUGAUCAAGGGAUCCCGUCACGCUCAUGUCGUUAUUGGCUGCCCCUGACAUGACAUGAUCCACCAAACGGGCAGCAAGGCGGCUCAAGAAUGGACCUGGAAUGGACACUUCAUGACUCCAAGACCUCACCCAAGACUGGCCGCACCACAAGCUUGCCGUCCUGCCGUCGCCAGGCAUGGAAGUGGAAGCUGGGGAGGGUUUUGGCAUCAGCCUGUAACAAGCAGAUGGGUCAAUCUGGAUCCAAGUUGGCCAAUCACCGGCCAGACCACGGCUUGUCACAGGCUGUCAAUUGGCCGCUGUCAAGGGUGUCGGUGUCCACUUGAGCAUGUCAGCAUGUCCCACCACAUUCCAUUCGCAUGCUGAAAAAGGGCCAUUUGGCUCGCGUCUAUAGACAGAAAUACGAGAGUUCGAUGCCCUUUGACGAUUUCGUACAUGAAGAUCCGACUCAGAUCGCGAUGCAACAAGCCUCUUCACUGUUCAGGUACCAAUACAAGGUUACAUAUGCAUACCUAUGUACGAGACUGAACUUUUACAAGACCUUCCAUCGGCUGCCUCCCUUUUAAGUGGUCGAGAGCCGAUCCCCGUCAAGUUCGGGCUUAAGGGCCCUCCGGAUCUCCAUGUCCAUCGCGACGGACUCAAGCGCUGCGUAGCGGAUUGGGGGCGCUAGGGGCGGGCAGAAGAUAUACAUUUCCGCCAGCUCCUCAGUGACAACCCUCGAGUAACUUCGAAACGACUUUGCGAAGUCGAAGUACAGGUUGGUAAAGAUUUACCAACAGAAUCUCAUUUUUCUGUCGAAGUGGUAUUUCAGCUAGCCGCUGGUUAAUCUACCCCUACCUCGACUUGGAAUGCUAUGCAUUGAGAAAAAGA